rnacentral:rRNA from 1 species
UACAGAGGUCUCAAGCGUUGUUCGGAUUCACUGGGCGUAAAGGGUGCGUAGGUGGCGCCGUAAGUCAGGUGUGAAAUCUCGGGGCUCAACCCCGAAACUGCACUUGAUACUGCGGUGCUCGAGUACUGGAGAGGAGAUUGGAAUUUACGGUGUAGCAGUGAAAUGCGUAGAUAUCGUAAGGAAGACCAGUGGCGAAGGCGAAUCUCUGGACAGUUACUGACACUGAGGCACGAAGGCCAGGGGAGCAAACGGG